rnacentral:rRNA from 1 species
GAUGAACGCUGGCGGCGUGCCUAAUACAUGCAAGUCGAGCGAACAGACGAGGAGCUUGCUCCUUUGACGUUUGCGGCGGACGGGUGAGUAACACGUGGAUAACCUACCUAUAAGACUGGGAUAACUUCGGGAAACCGGAGCUAAUACCGGAUAAUAUAUUGAACCGCAUGGUUCAAUAGUGAAAGACGGUUUUGCUGUCACUUAUAGAUGGAUCCGCGCCGCAUUAGCUGGUUGGUAAGGUAACGGCUUACCAAGGCAACGAUGCGUAGCCGACCUGAGAGGGUGGUCGGCCACACUGGAACUGAGACACGGUCCAAACUCCUGCGGGAGGCAGCAGUAGGGAAUCUUCCGCAGUGGGCGAAAGCCUUACAGAACAACGCCGCGUGAGUGAUGAAGGUCUUCGGAUCGUGAAACUCUGUUAUUAGGGGAGAACAAAUGUGGAAGUAACUAUGCACGUCUUGACGGUACCUAAUCAGGAAGCCACGGCUAACUACGUG